UCCCUGGGGGCCUGUGGGUCUGCUCGGGGACGAACGGGGACACCGAGGUGAUGGUAGUGAAUGCACAGCGAGCAAGCCACCUCCUCCAGCACUUCCCCCUUGGCCAGGGCCGGGCCGUCUGUGCCGCCAGCGUCCCAGGUCAGCGUGGGAACAGGGGAGGCUCCGGUGGAGGGCAGGCCGCUCGGCCCGCACGCCUCCUGUCCCAGAGCGAGGGGAUAGGCUCCCACCGGCACACGAGCGCAGAGCCGACCGUGUGGAUCGGGACCCAGACUGGGAGAUGGGAGCUGGGACGUGAGAAAUAGCCGCAGGCUGGCACUGGGAGGGCCCGGUCACCCUGUGCUCUGUUCUCUGGAGGUCCAUAGCACUGUCUGGUGCGGGGUCAGGAGCCGAGUCUGUGUCAUCGACCCCCAGGAGGCACACAUACAGAGGUGGUUAGAGGUCUCGGCCCAGGAGGACGAACAGGUCAUGCUGCUGGCUGCUCAAGGGGCUGGGGUCUGGAUUGCUCUCCAACGUGAGCCUGUGCUGCGUCUAUUCAACGCCCUUUCCGGGCGCUUCGUGCAAGAAAUUAACCUCCAGCCGUUUGUCACAACCAUGUU